CCCAGCUGUUGGCAACUGCCUAGGUUACCUUGUACCUGGCAAGUGUUACACUGCUGGGAGAAAAACAGCCAGUAACUGGUAGACACU
rnacentral:snoRNA from 1 species